rnacentral:lncRNA from 12 species
CCCCCCCCCCCCCCCCCCCCCCCCCCCCCCGACUUCCAGCCGGCGGCGAGGGGCGAGUCGCUUGGGGGAAGGAGCCCGGGCGCUGUGUCCCUCCAGCCCUGCUGUGUCAUUGCGGACCGGGGGACGGCUGCUCGCUGCCGAGUGAGAACCUGAGGGUGACGGACUUGAGCGAGAAAUGGGUCAGAUCGCACCCUUCGGUGCGGAUGUGUCUGCUGCUGCGAGAAUCGCAAAAGACCUACAGCCAACAAGACUUCUGGUGCUCCUUCCUACAGCAGAUGGUCCAGUUCACAGCCCCAUCAGUCCAGCUCCACAGUGAGAACGUACCAAAACAGUAAAUCAAGAGUGACCAUGAGCCCUGGCUUUAGCUCCCAGUGGAAUAGCAGCCAACCUGCUUGGAAUACAUACACCUUCCCAAGAGCAAGCUUGCACUACCAGUCUCAUGCUAGCUACACCUACUGUGCUGGACAUCCUGCUGUAAGUAAUGAACACCUUUUCUGCAGUUACCUGAAUGAGCUCUGUGGUUCCC